rnacentral:rRNA from 2 species
GCCGCCGGGGGGCUUACGCCCCCGGGCCCGCGCCCGCCGAAGACACCCUCGAACUCUGUCUGAAGAUUGAAGUCUGAGUGAAAAUAUAAAUUAUUUAAAACUUUCAACAACGGAUCUCUUGGUUCCGGCAUCGAUGAAGAACGCAGCGAAAUGCGAUACGUAAUGUGAAUUGCAAAUUCAGUGAAUCAUCGAGUCUUUGAACGCACAUUGCGCCCCCUGGUAUUCCGGGGGGCAUGCCUGUCCGAGCGUCAUUGCUGCCCUCAAGCCCGGCUUGUGUGUUGGGCCCCGUCCCCCGAUCUCCGGGGGACGGGCCCGAAAGGCAGCGGCGGCACCGCGUCCGGUCCUCGAGCGUAUGGGGCUUUGUCACCCGCUCUGUAGGCCCGGCCGGCGCUUGCCGAUCAACCCAAAUUUUUAUCCAGGUGACCUCGGAUCA